rnacentral:rRNA from 1 species
AUUGAACGCUGGCGGCAGGCCUAACACAUGCAAGUCGAACGGUAACAGGAAGAAGCUUGCUUCUUUGCUGACGAGUGGCGGACGGGUGAGUAAUGUCUGGGAAACUGCCUGAUGGAGGGGGAUAACUACUGGAAACGGUAGCUAAUACCGCAUAACGUCGCAAGACCAAAGAGGGGGACCUUCGGGCCUCUUGCCAUCGGAUGUGCCCAGAUGGGAUUAGCUAGUAGGUGGGGUAACGGCUCACCUAGGCGACGAUCCCUAGCUGGUCUGAGAGGAUGACCAGCCACACUGGAACUGAGACACGGUCCAGACUCCUACGGGAGGCAGCAGUGGCGAAUAUUGCACAAUGGGCGCAAGCCUGAUGCAGCCAUGCCGCGUGUAUGAAGAAGGCCUUCGGGUUGUAAAGUACUUUCAGCGGGGAGGAAGGGAGUAAAGUUAAUACCUUUGCUCAUUGACGUUACCCGCAGAAGAAGCACCGGCUAACUCCGU